rnacentral:lncRNA from 1 species
GAGGUUAUAGGGAACUUUCAGGAUAGCAUUUGAAAUGUAAAUGAAGAAAAUAUCUAAUAAAAUAAAAAAGGAAAGGGGGAAGGAAAGAAAGCAAGAAAAUUGAAGCCUUUCAGUUAAAUCUAGAAGUACCUGAAAAAAUACCUGAAUUUUGUGUGUUGGAAAGACCUGUCAAGUGUGGUGGUGCAUAUCUUCAAUCCUGGCACUAAGGAGACAGGAGCAGGCAGAAACAAACACCUGCUCCCAUGGGACUGGAGUUAACUGAUGGUUGUGAGCUAUCUGCAGAGAGCUAGGACUCAAACCUAGGUCCUCUAGAAGAGCAGCCAGUGGUCUUAACUGUUGAGCCAUUUCUAGCCGGCGAAUCUCACGUUAUAAUAUAAAAAACAUUAAGACCUGAAGACCUUAGCAGUUAAGAGCAUCAGGCUUCUCAUUCUAAGGAGAAUGUCUUUUGUUUUUUGUUUUUUUAAUGUAACAUUUGAAAUUGUCUGAGGUUUUUGUUGUUGGGUUUUUUUGUCUGUUUUUGAGACAGUCUCACUAUGUAGCUCUGUCUCUCCUAGAAUUCACUCUGUAGACUAGGCUAGCUUCAAACUCCCAGAGAUCCACCAGCUUGCCUCUGCCUCCCAAUUGCUGGGAUUAAAAGUGUGUGCCACUACAUCAGCUUUUCUAGAUUUUUGUUUUUCUUUUUCUUUUUUUUUCCUGAGGCAAAGUGUAACUGUAGACCAGGCUGGCCUUGAACUCAUAGAUCCACCUGCCUGUUUCCUGAAUGCUCAGAUUAAAUACAUGCACCACCAAGCCUGGCAAUUGUCUGUUUUUUUUUAAACAUUAUCGCUUUGUGUGUGUGUGUGUGUGUGUGUGUGUGUGUGUGUGUGUGUGUGUGUGUGUGUGUGUAUGAGUGUGCAGGUGCCUAUGGAAGGCAAAAGAAGACAUUGAACCCUUGCAGCUGGAGUUACAGGUAUUUGUGAGCCACUGAAGUGGGUGCAGGGAUUUGAACUCUGCUCCUCAAGACUGAGCAGCAAGCAUGUUAGCAAUCAAGCCAUCUCUCCAGCUCCAGUUGUCUUUUAUUUUUAACAAAUUUUCACUUUUGAUUUAUGUGUAUGUAUGUUUUGUCUGCAUGUAUGUAUGCUACAUGUGUACCUUCUGUUGAAGUAGGCCAGAAGAGGUCAUUGGAUCCCUUGGAACUGAAGUUAUGGAAAGCUAUAAGCUACCAUAUGGGAACUGACAACCAAACCCAAGUCCUCUACAGUACCAACAGGUACCCUAAAACCACUGAGCAGUCUUCUUUAUCCUCACUUGUCUGUUUUAAAACUCAAGUGUUUAACCCAUGAACUCCAGUUUAACCUGUAAACCCAAGUAUGUUUGUUGCUCUAUGUAUUAUUAACACCCAGAAAACACAAUUUACAAAUGAUAUUUCUGGAAAUUGACUUUUUUUUAACUCAAUUUAUUCAUUCAUGUUAGCUAGGUGUCUUCUGUAAGCAUUUAUAGCCCCUAGUUCAAGAACCCUUAGACCAGUGGUUCUCAGCCUUCCUAAUGCUGUGAUCCUUUAAUACCAUAAAAUUGUUUUUGUUGUACUUCAUAACUGUAAUUUUGCUACUGUUAUGAAUCAUUAGGUAAAUAUCUAAUAUCUAAUAUGCAGGACGUCCGAUAUAUGUGUCCCCUAUGAAAGGGUUGUUCGGUCCCCAAAGGGGUCUUGACCUACAGGUUGAGGACCAGUGCCUUAGAAUAUCUUAUUUCAACUCCCCUUUCCCAUUCUGUGUCUUAAGUCUUCCCUCUAAGAUGGAAGGUUUUAAUAUUGGAGAAAGUGGUAUACAACAAGGUCAGAAAAUUGUAUUUUCUUUGGUGUUACUUUAAAUAAUUUAUUAUACUGUUUUCAUAGUCCUGUCUGAAGAUACAAAUGACUGUAAUAAUUAUGCCACGGACAGGCUCACAGCCUAGUUAUACUUUAUUGCCUGAUUUUUAUUAUAUUG